GACGAACGCUGGCGGCGGGCCUAACACAUGCAAGUCGAACGGACAGGCACUGCUUUUGUGGGGUGCUCGAGUACGGAACGGGUGAGUAACACGGGUGUAACAUGGCCUUGACAUACGGAGAACUAUAGGAAAUUGGGGCUAAUACCGGAUAGGAGAUCCUGCUGCGUGGUGGGGGUGGGAGAGUUUGGGGGGGUGGGGAUGGUCUCGCGGCUUAUCAGCUUGUUGGUGGGGUAGUGGCUUACCAAGGCUUCGACGGGGAGCCGGCCUGAGAGGGGGACCGGCCACACUGGGACUGAGAUGCGGCCCAGACUCCUACGGGAGGCAGCAGUGGGGAAUAUUGUCCAAUGGGCGGAAGCCUAAUGCAGUAACGCCGCGUGCGGGAUGACGGCCUUCGGGUUGUAUACCGCUGUCGCCUGUGACGAAGCGUGAGUGACGGUAACGGGUAAAGAAGCACCGGCUAACUACGUG
rnacentral:rRNA from 1 species